UUUGUUCCCGAGUAAUUGACU
rnacentral:piRNA from 1 species